rnacentral:rRNA from 1 species
GACGAACGCUGGCGGCGUGCUUAACACAUGCAAGUCGAACGAAGUGGCGAACGGGUGAGUAACGCGUAAUCAACCUGCCCUUCAGAGGGGGACAACAGUUGGAAACGACUGCUAAUAACGCAUACUGUCGGUGGGGAUUGCGUCGGAUUAGCUAGUUGGAGGGGUAACGGCCCACCAAGGCUAUGAUCAGUAGCCGGUCUGAGAGGAUGAACGGCCACAAUUGGACGGAGAAACGGCACAGACUCCGACGGGAGGCAGCAGUGGGGAAUCUUCCGCAAUGGACGAAAGUCUGACGGAGCAACGCCGCGUGAGAGAUGACGGCCUUCGGGUUGUAAAGAUCUGUUAAUCGGGACGCGGAAGCGGAAGAGAAAGCCACGGCUAACUACGUGCCAGCAGCCGCGGUAAUUG